rnacentral:rRNA from 1 species
GACAGAGGGUGCAAACGUUGUUCGGAAUUACUGGGCGUAAAGCGAGUGUAGGCGGUCUGCUAAGUCGGGUGUGAAAGCCCCGGGCUCAACCCGGGAAGUGCACUCGAAACUGGCAGGCUAGAGUAUCGGAGAGGUUGGUGGAAUUCUCGGGUGUGAGAGGUGAAAUUCGUAGAUAUCGAGAGGAACACCGGUGGCGAAGGCGGCCAACUGGACGAAUACUGACGCUGAGACUCGAAAGCGUGGGGAGCAAACAGG